AUGAACGAUAAGCUCACAAAACCGUUUACCACGGAAGAAGUAAAGUUUGCACUCUUCCAGAUGGCCCCGUCAAAGGCUCCCGAUGUGGAUGGGUAUACAACGGGGGUCUAUCAACGACAUUGGAGUUUCCUGGGUGACGAUGUUACUAGAGCUGUGUUGGAAUUUCUUAAUGGCGGGGUGUUACCUUGUGGACUAAACGAUACUGCAAUAACUCUUAUUCCAAAGCUUAAACAUCCUCAGUCCAUAUCUCAGUACCGUCCUAUUGCCUUAUGUCCGGUUCUCUAUAAAAUUGUGUCCAAAGCAAUUACAAACAGACUAAGAGGUUUUAUGGAUAAAAUUGUCAGUGAGGAACAGAGUGCAUUUGUGCUCGGUCGUCUAAUCACUGAUAAUGUCUUGGUGGCAUAUGAAAGUGUACACACUAUGAAGAGGAUAAAAAAGGGGAAGAAUUACUCUUGUGUGGUCAAGCUCGAUAUGAUGAAGGCUUACGAUCGUGUCGAGUGGCAUUACCUGUAAGCUAUUCUUACUAAUCUUGGUUUCAGCAUGGGUUUUGUCAGGCUUGUUAUGAAGUGUGUGACCUCAGUACGGUUUUCUGUUCGGGUCAAUUGUGUGCUCCUGCCGUUUUUUACUCCAACCAAAGGACUCCGACAAGGCGAUCCUAUUUCGCCAUACUUAUUCCUGCUAUGUGGGGAAGGUUUGUCCUCAUUGCUCAAGACCUACAAUGGAGGUACUGUUGACCGGGGACUACGAGUUAGCUAUCGUUCUCCUUGGGUCACUCAUCUGAUGUUCGCAGAUGAUAGUUUGAUUUUCAUCAAUGCAAAGGAUGAAAGUGCUCUUUGGUUGAAUGAGAUUCUAAGGAUAUAUGGUUGCUUCGGUCAGUGUGUUAAUCGUGAUAAAAGUUCCAUUUUCUUUUCUACUAACACUCCUGAUCCUGUGAAGAGUGUUAUUAAGCUGACGCUGAAUAUUCAAGUGGAGGCCUUUAACGAGAAGUAUCUGGGCUUGCCCACGGCUGUGGGGCGCAUUACAAGUGGGACUUUCGAUCAUAUGGGAGAAAGAGCUCGUGGUAAAAUCCAAGGAUGGUCGGAGAAGCUUUUAGCUUGUGUUGGACGUGAGGCACUUCUAAAAUCAGUCAUACAAGCUAUCCCUACUUACCCAAUGAGUACGUUUUUGUUGAGCAAGAAGGUUUGCAAGAGUUUAACUUCUCCCAUGGCAAAAUAUUUUUGGAGUAGUUCUCUUGACAAAAGGUCGAUGCAUUUGGUGUCUUCGAAAGAGUUAGCUACGCCCAAGUGCAAUGGGGGUAUGGGCUUCAGAGAUCUGCAGCUGUUCAAUCUUGCAAUGUUGGCCAAACAUGGAUGGCGGUUCUUACAAACCCAAAUUCCCUAUGUGCAAGAGUUCUCAAGGGGCGAUAUUUCCCAGAUACCGAUUUCAUGCAAGCAUCUGCAACCAAGUCAACCUUGGCUACUUGAAAGGCCAUCAUUGUGGGACGAGAUGCCCUUAAAGUUGGGCUGA
rnacentral:rRNA from 1 species